rfam:Drosophila virilis strain TSC#15010-1051.87 Ctg01_17178, whole genome shotgun sequence.
AGCUGUAAUUUUCCAAGCAUUUUCAAUGUAUUUCCAUAAGAAACUUCCUUUGUAAAACCUUCAUUGGUCUCAACUCUGUCUGGCUGGGCAUUUGCCAAAGCCCAUGAGUGCCCAUCCAGACAUACUUGAGACAAUAAUGGGCUUAGCUGAAGGUUUUACCGAAGAAGUUUUCGUAUGAAAAUCUCAUGUAAGAUUCAUUUCUAUAAUUUUGGCACUUGGCAUAGCUUACAAAAAACUGCACUGAUCUAAAUGGAAAAUGUUUCUCUUCCUGAUAAUCGCACGCCUCUCUUUUUGGCCUGCCAUUAUCAGCCGAAGAUCGAACAUUUAAACAAUAAUACUCGUCAGAAUAUUUUUAAUUAUUGCUAUGCCCCGGUUUUCAUGUUACAAUUGAACAUUCUUCACGUGAGAAUUGUUCAAAUAUUGUACCACAAUACAUGAAUACCACACGCCUAAGUUAUCGAAACGAAUACUAUAUAUUACUGGAGGAUUUUCGGUUUUUUCUUAUAAUUGAAAAUGCGUUGAAAAUUUACCAGUU